GAUUAAGUUAUUAAGGGCGCACGGUGGAUGCCUUGGCACUAGAAGCCGAUGAAGGACGUUACUAACGACGAUAUGCUUUGGGGAGCUGUAAGUAAGCUUUGAUCCAGAGAUUUCCGAAUGGGGAAACCCAACAUGAGUUAUGUCAUGUUAUCGAUAUGUGAAUACAUAGCAUAUCAGAAGGCACACCCGGAGAACUGAAACAUCUUAGUACCCGGAGGAAGAGAAAGAAAAUUCGAUUCCCUUAGUAGCGGCGAGCGAAACGGGAAGAGCCCAAACCAACAAGCUUGCUUGUUGGGGUUGUAGGACACUCUAUACGGAGUUACAAAGGACGACAUUAGACGAAUCAUCUGGAAAGAGGAAUCAAAGAAGGUAAUAAUCCUGUAGUCGAAAAUGUUGUCUCUCUUGAGUGAAGCCUGAGUACGACGGAGCACGUGAAAUUCCGUCGGAAUCUGGGAGGACCAUCUCCUAAGGCUAAAUACUCUCUAGUGACCGAUAGUGAACCAGUACCGUGAGGGAAAGGUGAAAAGCACCCCGGAAGGGGAGUGAAAUAGAACCUGAAACCGUGUGCUUACAAGUAGUCAGAGCCCGUUAAUGGGUGAUGGCGUGCCUUUUGUAGAAUGAACCGGCGAGUUACGAUUUGAUGCAAGGUUAAGCAGUAAAUGUGGAGCCGUAGCGAAAGCGAGUCUGAAUAGGGCGUUUAGUAUUUGGUCGUAGACCCGAAACCAGGUGAUCUACCCUUGGUCAGGUUGAAGUUCAGGUAACACUGAAUGGAGGACCGAACCGACUUACGUUGAAAAGUGAGCGGAUGAACUGAGGGUAGCGGAGAAAUUCCAAUCGAACCUGGAGAUAGCUGGUUCUCUCCGAAAUAGCUUUAGGGCUAGCCUCAAGUGAUGAUUAUUGGAGGUAGAGCACUGUUUGGACGAGGGGCCCCUCUCGGGUUACCGAAUUCAGACAAACUCCGAAUGCCAAUUAAUUUAACUUGGGAGUCAGAACAUGGGUGAUAAGGUCCGUGUUCGAAAGGGAAACAGCCCAGACCACCAGCUAAGGUCCCAAAAUAUAUGUUAAGUGGAAAAGGAUGUGGCGUUGCCCAGACAACUAGGAUGUUGGCUUAGAAGCAGCCAUCAUUUAAAGAGUGCGUAAUAGCUCACUAGUCGAGUGACACUGCGCCGAAAAUGUACCGGGGCUAAACAUAUUACCGAAGCUGUGGAUUGUCCUUUGGACAAUGGUAGGAGAGCGUUCUAAGGGCGUUGAAGCAUGAUCGUAAGGACAUGUGGAGCGCUUAGAAGUGAGAAUGCCGGUGUGAGUAGCGAAAGACGGGUGAGAAUCCCGUCCACCGAUUGACUAAGGUUUCCAGAGGAAGGCUCGUCCGCUCUGGGUUAGUCGGGUCCUAAGCUGAGGCCGACAGGCGUAGGCGAUGGAUAACAGGUUGAUAUUCCUGUACCACCUAUAAUCGUUUUAAUCGAUGGGGGGACGCAGUAGGAUAGGCGAAGCGUGCGAUUGGAUUGCACGUCUAAGCAGUAAGGCUGAGUAUUAGGCAAAUCCGGUACUCAUUAAGGCUGAGCUGUGAUGGGGAGAAGACAUUGUGUCUUCGAGUCGUUGAUUUCACACUGCCGAGAAAAGCCUCUAGAUAGAAAAUAGGUGCCCGUACCGCAAACCGACACAGGUAGUCAAGAUGAGAAUUCUAAGGUGAGCGAGCGAACUCUCGUUAAGGAACUCGGCAAAAUGACCCCGUAACUUCGGGAGAAGGGGUGCUCUUUAGGGUUAACGCCCAGAAGAGCCGCAGUGAAUAGGCCCAAGCGACUGUUUAUCAAAAACACAGGUCUCUGCUAAACCGUAAGGUGAUGUAUAGGGGCUGACGCCUGCCCGGUGCUGGAAGGUUAAGAGGAGUGGUUAGCUUCUGCGAAGCUACGAAUCGAAGCCCCAGUAAACGGCGGCCGUAACUAUAACGGUCCUAAGGUAGCGAAAUUCCUUGUCGGGUAAGUUCCGACCCGCACGAAAGGCGUAACGAUUUGGGCACUGUCUCAACGAGAGACUCGGUGAAAUCAUAGUACCUGUGAAGAUGCAGGUUACCCGCGACAGGACGGAAAGACCCCGUGGAGCUUUACUGUAGCCUGAUAUUGAAAUUCGGCACAUCUUGUACAGGAUAGGUAGGAGCCAUUGAAACGUGAGCGCUAGCUUACGUGGAGGCGCUGGUGGGAUACUACCCUAGCUGUGUUGGCUUUCUAACCCGCACCACUUAUCGUGGUGGGAGACAGUGUCAGGCGGGCAGUUUGACUGGGGCGGUCGCCUCCUAAAAGGUAACGGAGGCGCUCAAAGGUUCCCUCAGAAUGGUUGGAAAUCAUUCAUAGAGUGUAAAGGCAUAAGGGAGCUUGACUGCGAGACCUACAAGUCGAGCAGGGUCGAAAGACGGACUUAGUGAUCCGGUGGUUCCGCAUGGAAGGGCCAUCGCUCAACGGAUAAAAGCUACCCCGGGGAUAACAGGCUUAUCUCCCCCAAGAGUUCACAUCGACGGGGAGGUUUGGCACCUCGAUGUCGGCUCAUCGCAUCCUGGGGCUGUAGUCGGUCCCAAGGGUUGGGCUGUUCGCCCAUUAAAGCGGUACGCGAGCUGGGUUCAGAACGUCGUGAGACAGUUCGGUCCCUAUCCGUCGUGGGCGUAGGAAAUUUGAGAGGAGCUGUCCUUAGUACGAGAGGACCGGGAUGGACAUACCUCUGGUGUACCAGUUGUCGUGCCAACGGCAUAGCUGGGUAGCUAUGUGUGGACGGGAUAAGUGCUGAAAGCAUCUAAGCAUGAAGCCCCCCUCAAGAUGAGAUUUCCCAACUUCGGUUAUAAGAUCCCUCAAAGAUGAUGAGGUUAAUAGGUUCGAGGUGGAAGCAUGGUGACAUGUGGAGCUGACGAAUACUAAUCGAUCGAAGACUUAAUCAA
rnacentral:rRNA from 1 species